rnacentral:rRNA from 1 species
GUCUGUAUGAAGUUAUAUAGAGUCUAGCCUGCCCAAUGAAAUUAUUUAAAAGGCCGCAGUAAUUUGACUGUGCAAAGGUAGCAUAAUAAUUAGUUUUUUAAUUGAAGGCUUGUAUGAAUGGUUGGACAAAGAAAACCCUGUCUUUUAUAUUAUUUUUGAAUUUUACAUUUAAGUGAAAAGGCUUAAAUAAAUUUAAGGGACGAUAAGACCCUAUAAAUCUUUACGUUGAAUUAAAUUUUUUUAUAAUUUCAUAAAAUUUAGUAAUGUUAUGUUGGGGCAACAUAGAUAUAAAAAAUAACUGUUAAACAAAUUAUACAUUUAUUUAUGAAUAGAUAAAAGAUCCUUAAAAAGAUUAAAAGUUUAAGUUACUUUAGGGAUAACAGCGUUAUUUUUUUUGAGAGUUCCCAUUAAAAAAAAAGUUUGCGACCUCGAUGUUGAAUUAAAAAUUCUUUGUGGUGUAGCAGCUGCAAUAGAAAGUCUGUUCGACUUUUAAAAUUUU